ACCUGGGUGGCUCAGUCGGUUAAGCAUCUGACUUCGGCUCAGGUCAUGAUCUCACAGUCCGUGGGUUCGAGCCCCGCGUCGGGCU
rnacentral:tRNA from 1 species